rnacentral:lncRNA from 1 species
UAUGUGUCUCGAAAUUUGGCAAGAAUUUGGCAAUCUUGAGUUUUGGAAAGAAAUCUUGUUGGUGCCAUAUGGUUUUAGGAAAUAAUCAAUAGGAUUCAAGAAAUAUGGAAAGAAUCAAUUGGAAUCCAAGAUUAGGAAGGAAAUAAUUUGAAACUGUGAAGAAAGGAAAGAAAAUUGUCGGACACGUGACACGUCUUUUUCUUUUACGUGAUUUUUUCCUAAUUCUAUAUUUUUCCUAGUUUUAGCGUUUGACUCGUGUACUAUAAAUACGUGGCUCCUCUUUCAAUUUAGUUUAAGCCAAUUGCUGUAAUUCUCUCCUUUCAUAGUGAUUGAAUAAAAUAACAUCCUUCCUCUGCCAGU